rfam:Salmo salar isolate Sally breed double haploid chromosome ssa16, whole genome shotgun sequence.
UGCACUCACCACUGUAAGUUGCUCUGGAUAAGAGCGUCUUCUAAAUGAUGUAAA